rnacentral:rRNA from 1 species
GACGAACCGAGCGAACGUUAUUCGGAAUCACUGGGCUUAAAGGGCGCGUAGGCGGGCCGGCAAGUCAGGGGUGAAAGCCCCCAGCUCAACUGGAGAAGUGCCUCUGAUACUGCGGGCCUCGAGGGAGGUAGGGGCGUGCGGAACUUCCGGUGGAGCGGUGAAAUGCGUAGAUAUCGGAAGGAACACCGGGUGGCGAAAGCGGCGCGCUGGACCUCUUCUGACGCUGAGGCGCGAAAGCCAGGGGAGCAAAGCGGG